UUGCCUGCACCUGCCGGCGACCGGCGCACGGGUGAGUAACACGUAUGGAACCUGCCCGCCACAGGGGGAUAACCCGGGGAAACCCGGCCUAAUACCCCAUGCCGCCCGGACCGGGCAUCCGGUCCGGGCGAAAGGAGGAAUCCGGUGGCGGCUGGGCAUGCGGCGCAUUAGCUUGACGGCGGGGUAACGGCUCACCGUGGCGACGAUGCGUAGGGGUUCUGAGAGGAAGGCCCCCCACGCUGGAACUGAGACACGGUCCAGACUCCUACGGAAGGCAGCAG
rnacentral:rRNA from 1 species